GAAGCGGUGAGCAGAAGGGGUCUGAUACCUUGCUGAGGUCUGAUUAACAUUGGGGGUCUGAUUGGUUGGUUUGACCUGCGGUCUAAUGAAAAAUGAUUUUUUCUUAUUGUCCUCCUCUAAAACCUAGGUGCGUCUUAUUGGGCG